GGGGCGCGCCCGGCGCGACGCGGAGCAGGCCAGCCCCCGACUACUGCCCGCGGAAUGGGCAAGAUUAGUUUGUUAAUAAUCUUUCCUCCUCUCCUCCUCCUCCUCCCUCACCUAAAAAUAGAACGUAAGUGGGGAGGCCAAGUCUCACAAAACAUCCCCCGCGAGAAAACAAGUGUCUGCUUGGGCACCCUGAAACAUACACUUGAAAGAGUCGCCUGAAUAUAGACUCUUUAGUGUCCAAGGAAUUGGGGUAAGGACGGAAAGAGGUGCUUGAUUGGUGUUGCCAAAAUGUAAAAACUGCAAAAGACUAAGCUUCCUGGAGUGCUACUUUCAUACUUAAAGUUAUUUAUCGUGUUUAUGUUAUGAAUGAAAAUGAAUUGUGAAAGGAUAUUUAAUCUGGAAAUUUCACAUUGAAGUUGGACUUUGGUGAGGGAGAAUAGAGGAAACAAUUGGGACAAUGUGGAGAUAGUUGCUUGGAUUUUGGUGAGACAGCAUGAUACAAGAAACAAAUGAUGUCAGGGUUCAAAACUUUUUAAAGCCAGCUUUGGCAUUCCGUUUUGUUAUGUUUAAAUUCUCAUUAGCAAAAAUACUCAAAUUCUAUCCAAAACCAGACACAAUGUGACAGACCUAUCAAGCAGCAUUGUUCCCCUAAAUGUUACAUCUGAACUAUACAUAUAAGUAAGGCUUCCAAUAUUUUAUUGUACUUGGCUAUGCUCUGAAGAACAAGUUAGAACACUUUUUAAAAUCUUAACGUGAUUGAAAAGAAUAUUUUGCGUAGACAAAAUAUUUUAAGGAAGGAAUUAUUUUUCAUUUGAAAUUAAAAUCCAGAGCAUAGUAAAAUUCCUAAUGGAAGCAUUCGAAUUACAAGGUAAUUAAGUGCAUUGUCAUUGAUAGCUACAGGAAACCAUAACUUUUGGAGAAUUUGGAAUGAAGAAUGCUCUGGAGAUGAAAUAGUGCCUAGUUUUUGUCCAGGCAUUUACACAUAAGUCAUAGACUACUAAAAUAGCACACUGAUUUUCCUGCCUUCAUUCUUUCCUAUCUCCUUUCUAGCGCAUUGCUCUAGAUUUACAAUUCCAAGACAUCUUCUAAUGGUUUACUAAUAUCCCCAAGAUCAAAUCCAAAAUCCAGACUAGCUUUCCAGAACCAUCAUAAUAUUCUCCUGAGUCUCAUCUAUGUACUGCCAAAUGUCAGGGGAGUUAGAACAGUGAUAUUAAUAUCUCUAUGGCUUGAAAUUUCACUACUAGAAAAUCUUUUCUUUGAACCUAUAAGACUUUCUCAGCCUUCAAGGGUCCUGUAGUAGGAUGCAGCUAACAGUUUAAUGGCUCUCCAAAAUAGGUCAGAGUCUCGCUGCCUGUGUGGAAGAUGAAAAAGAGAAUGAAUAAAGAAGGUACCUAAGAAGAAGCAUUGAAAGGGCUGGUCAAGUGCCACAAAAUAUGCUGCCUUCAAAGUUUUAUCCAGGGUUCUUACGUAUCCACCCUGUUCCUCUGCUGCUCCCAGCUUCAAUUCUAUCAUAUCUAAGUGCUGUUGCCUACUCUGUCUUUGCUAAUUAAUUCAUUCCUGUUCUUUCUGUCCACUACCUUCAUGACUUUCAAAAUCUAGCUAAGCCAGAACUUUUUGACUCCACCAUUCCACCACUCCUGAUCACACCCCUCCCACAGGGAUCUGAUAUACAACAGCAUGUCUAUGUCAUUUAUUUGGGGACUGGAUUGUAGAGUAAAUAAUAUGACUGGCCCUGGAAGGUAUGUUUGGCUUACUAGCCAGAUUGUAAAUUGUGAGAGAUGAUAGAACAUUCUUCAGUAUUCUUGCACCCCUUACACUUUUAAAUGCUGAUCCCACAAGGGAUAAUGGGUCUUCUUGAGGUAGUUUCUGUUUUCUGUGUUCUUCAAAGAGACACCUAAAUUGAUUAUUUUAAAAUUUGCUUCAUGUUAUUUCUAUAAUGCUUAUAUUUUAUUUAGGUUUGCAGUUGUUUAAAUACACUUUCAGAUGACAACAACAAAGAAUUCUUGUGAAAGGCAAUAAUUAACCAUAGUUUAAAAAAAAAUCAAACAACCAGAGUCAAGUAAUAAGGGGGAAAAAUUACCAGCAGGUAACAAAGUAGAAUAUAUACAUUAUUCAGUUUCCGGUAGCACAAAUGUGUGCUUUCUUCUACAUGGCAUUUUUUAAUGAAAUAUGUUGAGGGUAUAGAAGUAAUAGAGAAGGAAAUCCUUGAAGUAGUAUGCUAUUGCCUUGAAAAGUAAGGUUUUUUCAUUGUAUUCUCAACUUUUACAGAUGUUUUAAAAUGCCCAAGGUAUUUCAUUUAUUCGAUAAUGAAUACUACACAUGAAGAAAGUCUGCAUGUUUGCUUCUUCGAGGAUUUUCUCCCAAACAAGUACUAUCUUGUACACCAACUGCAAAUAUACAUUGCGAAGCUCUACAUAAAGAGUAUUGUCUGGGCCAGGCAUGGUGGCUCACACCUGUAAUCCCAGCACUUUGGGAGGCUGAGGCGGGGCAGAUCACCUGAGGUCAGGAGUUUGAGACCAGCCUGACCAACAUGGAGAAACCCUGUCUCUACUAAAAAUACAAAAUUAGCCAUGCAUGGUGGCGAAUGCCUGUAAUUCCACCAACUUGGGAGGCUAAGGCAGGAGAAUAGCUUGAACCCAGGAGGCAGAGGUUGCGGUGAGCUGAGAUUGUGCCAUUGCACUCCAGCCUGGGCAAAAAGAGUGAAACGCUGUCUCAAAAAAAAAAAAAAAAAAGAGUAUUGUCUGAAUCAAUGAUGUUUGCAAGGUGGAAAAAGAAAGAAAUGUAUAUUAAAUGUGGAUAAUUCCAUCCAGCAUGACAUAGUGGAAGCAACGUGGUCUUUGGUGUUAGACUGAAGUUUGAAAUGUUUCCCUCUUUUUCUAGCUGUAUGGUAUAAGGCAAGACAGCUAAUAUCCCAAGGCCAUGACUUUUCUCAUCUUUGAAAUAGCAAUCAUGAUAACUACCUUCCCAAAUUGAUGUGAAUCUCACAAGAAAUAAUGUAGGUGCUCAGUAUAGCUAUUAGAAUGAUUAUAUUGCAGAAAGCAAAAAAUAAAUCAAUUUCAUAUGGGGGAAUAAUUCUCAUAUUAGCAAAUGGCAUCUAUCAUCAUGCUUAUGCAGCUGUAUUUUAAAAUUGGCAUAAGUUCAGGCAAAGAUAGAAAACGUAUACUUUGGUUAAAUCAGGCAGUUUUAUAUGGGAAAGCAUGAAUCAUAAGGGAAACAUUGUUCUUGGUUUAAUUAGAUAUUUAAAAUUGCAAAACAAGAUUUACUAUUGGGUAGGCUAAGCCAUUUUGGUUGUAGUUAUGGUAUUGUUUCUUUAAUAAUAUUUAUAUGCUCAAAAAUUGUAUUUUGUGCAUCAAAAUCUUAAUUAUUUAGAAUCUGAUUAGAGAGUGGUAGAGUUGCAGUUAUUUCUUCAAAUUCUCAUCUUUUGUUAAGACAAAAGGGGCCUCAGAGGUAUAAGGUUAAGUAGAAUAUCAGGUUAAAUGAACAAAGUAGCAUUUUAUAUUUUGAUAGUAUUGCCUGGAGAAAAAAAUUCUAUAUAAAAUAAGAAUGGAAAACACUGCAUAUUAUACCCCCUCCUCUUCCUCCACCCCAGCCCAGUCACAAUGAAUGUUAAAGACUUGAGACGUCUUCAAAACUUGUUUUUUAAAACUUUAAUUUUUUAAACCCAAUAGUUAUAAAAUUUAUUUCAACAGUAAAUCUUUUUGGCCCCUCAAUGUAUCCAUUAACAUUUCCAGGGAUACCAGUGAAAUAAUUUGCAAUAGCAUAAAAGAGAAUAAAAGAAAAAAUAUUAAUAAAUAAGAGUAAACACUUCAAAAA
rnacentral:lncRNA from 1 species